UCUGCAAUAACACAACCAACCAAAAAAGGAGGGGGGUAAAUUACUAGAAGAAAAGAAUGUCGAGUCACCCACAUUUCCGUGAUGACAUAAUCAAAAAGAAACAAGCCAAGAAAAACCGGAGAAAGGAUCAAUAGCCAAAAGAAAAAGAAAAUUGCGACUGUCUCGGCUCUUUUCUUCUGUGUGUUUCUAACCAGGUUAAUUGACAUCUCGCCGGCGUGGAAAUUGCCAUCCUCAACGGAGGAGGCUCAGAGAUGACAGCACAGCUCUCCUAAUACCAACAUGGAACAUCACAAGACAGACGAGCUGACGAAUGGAUGAAACUUAAAAAGGCCAACAGCAGCCGGGGCCCAGCAAGUCACGCAAAGUGUGUUGAUGGUUCGGUUUUCGGUGUCCCAGGUUUCAUUCUAAUUACUGGUGUUGGCGGGGGCACACUGGAUGGAUUGUCGUUUUUUACCUGCGGACAGCGCCCAUUCCGGCCGCCGAGCUGGCGCUUCGCAACACCUUGGCCUUGGGCAUGUAGCGUGAUGAAUAGCCGCCUCCGCGCGAUGGCUGAGACUCCAAGUCCGUGUCGCCAAAGUAGCGCAUCUGGCGGCGAGAUUGAGCCGCUGCUGCCGAAGUGGCCGCCGGAGGCGGCGGAGCUGAUUCCAGAGGACCUGCCGGAGCGAUGGAUGGACCUCUGGGCUGCUGCUGUGGCUGCUGGUUCUCUUCCGAUCCGCUGCGAUCCCUCAAUUCCGCUGACUCCACCCCGAUUUGAUGGAUCAAAUUGGUGCUGGCGUAUGGGCGGGCGUCGGGUCCGCGCUGCUGCUGAUGUUGGGACUUGUAGCGAUGGCCGCCAUCAUCCGGAUAGCGACGGCUCGAUUGGAAUUGAACGGAAGUAUCCGGAUGGCGACGAUUCUGAUUGUGCUGGUGCUCCUCACCCAACACGACCACCGGAUCCGGUCGGUAAUUCAAAUUGUUGAAACUCUGCGCGCCACAAAAAAAGACGAAAUAACCGAAAAAAUGAAACUUUUUCCAAGAAAGACAAAAAAAGAAAUUAGACAUCGUCGUUGUUCGUCGUGCUGCGCAGUGCAGUCACGCUUGUCUCCCCCCCCCCCCCCCCCAGUGCCCUCUACGACGUUGUUCAAAGUGGAGCUGACGGAAAAACAAAAAAACCGGCCGGAAAAGCAGACGGAAAAUAACAAGGUGAUUGGCAUCGAGCUGAUUCCCGGGCCGCGGGAAUAGCUACAGCAGAAGAAGAAAGGGGCUUUCGCGUGACACCAAAGUGCCGACCGAAGAAACAACAACCUGGCGACCCGAAAAGAGGCAAGUUAAGAAAAAUGAAAUCGAGUACAUCCAGAUGAAUGGCCAGCAGAGCAGGCCAGCGACCGAUGUUAUAACGGGCGGCUAUCUAGCUCUGCAUGCGCCCCGAGUUUAUACCAACAAGGGAGAGUGCAAGGAGGCCGGUUAUGGUCACAUCUUAGGCUAUACAGGUAUUAUUAUUACAAGUCCAACUGGACAACUUUCUCGCACGACCCAGACGAUCUGCCGGACUGGCGAAAUGGAGAGAGAAAACAAAAGCUAUAGCCGAGAAGAAGAAGAAGAAGAAGCCAACAGUCUCCGAAAUUUGUAAUUUUUCUUGACAUUUCUUCGCCAAUUUGGGAGGGAAAGUUUUUUCUCCGUGCCGCCGCCGCCGCCGGAUCGGCCAGCAUCUAAUCUAAUGAUAAGAACGUGCAAACAAUUCUCUCUCUCUUCACUUAUUUGUGCUUCUUCUGUUCUCUAACUAUGGCUAAUUCCCAUUCAUCUCGAAUUUUAGGCGUGCUGGUGUUGCAGCAGCAUCCAUCCUACCCACACAAGGGGGGAAAACAAGAGAACCAUCAAUUGAAUUGCCAUAUUCCGAGAUGAGCGCGCGCCGUGAACCUUAUUCAGCAUCGUUCCAGGUGAAAAGCAACGAGCUGUUCAGCAACGAUACACACGUUCCGCCACGGGUUUUUAUAUAAUAUCAAGUACCUGCAUAUCUUUUUUUCUUUUCUUUUCUUUUUGGACUCCACUCUCUAAAAUUCUGAUUGUAGUGCGAAAGUUAUACGAUAUAAAUGUAUAACAUUGUCUUGUGUGCUGUGUGUGUUGUUGCUGGACUCUACUGCGAGCUAUAUUAUGUCCUAUAGCAACAGCUGUGUUUGUGCAGUUUGCACGACCGGCACGCUCGCUCCCAAGGUCGAUAGGUACUUCUUCUUCUUCUAUUCAUUCUGAAGAAGAAGAAGAAGAAAAAAGUGUAGUACUCUUUUUUUUUCUUCAUUUUUAAUUUAAUGGUUUACUUAUUCAAACAGCCUGGCGUCUAUCUCGAAUGUUUCCUUUUUUUCCUUUUUGCUAUGGGAGCCUGGAGAACGAAGCGGGAGCUCUAGCGCGUGUAUAUUUUUUGAUAGCGUUUUAAUCUAAUUUAUAACCCAAACAGCAUCUUUAUCUGUCUGUGGUGCUUUUGCAUUAUGCUAAUGUAGGACGAGGCCGGCUCUAAUAUUAUUGUGUACAUAUAGAUGAGGGUCUCUCCAGCUUCUUUUUCUUUCGUUGCGCGCAAAACGAACAAAAAAAAAGCCCAGGGUUUUUUUAUUUUAUUUUAUCGGAGGACGCCCGACCGGCCUUAUAAGGCGAAAAAUACAAAAAUACCUUCCAUCACUGAACUCCCCCCCCCCUUCCCGAAAAGAUUUUUUUGUAUUUUUCAUUUUUUGUAAAAGACUGUCCAGCCCUGUAUGACGUCAUUCGAUUCGGCCAAAAAAACAAAACAAAAAGGCGACGGUUGGAUUCUUCCAAUGUGUUCACACAAGACACGAACAGCCAAACUAUUGAAAUGUGUGAGAGGAAAAGACGCCCGAGGCCGACUGUGAGUCUUUUUGGGGAUUUUUUUCGUGUACAUAUAAUAAGCCGCGUGUGUGUGAUAUUUCGUGGUCAACUCCCUCCUCAUUUUUUUUCGGUUUAAGCCGAGAGUUGUUGCUACUCUAUACUCCGCUUUAGGCUCGUUCGUAAAGAAGAAAGUCGUAAAUAAUACACGCCCAUGAUUUCCUUUUAUUAUUAUUUUUUUUUUUAGGUUUUCUUAUAAAAUUACCUGAGCAGGUGAAUCACCUGGAAUCAAUUGUAUAUAGCCCCAGCUGACGGUCGCCACAGAGCUUGAUAUUUCGAUACCACGGCGCGCUCUGCAUUUCUACUUGUUUUCAUUUCUCCGAUAAUAAAUAAAGAAAGAAAUGGAUCAAUUACCUUGGGGCUACGACCUCUUCGAUGCGCUUAUAUUCUUCCACACACUCGUUUCCUCUCGCAACGCCGCAAAACGCUCAAUCCCGACGCUUCCCGAUUUCCCAUUGCAUAAUAAAAUAAGACAAACCAGAAAGAAAAAAAAGGUAAAUCGUAUCAAGGUCGAUCGUGUGUGGCUUUUCAGUCGAUGCUAAUCGGACCUGUCGCGCAAUGUAAUAACGACGCCACUAAAGACUGCGCCCAUCACACAGCAAGCGAUUCGCCUCUAGCGGACGACCGAUUGGAAUUUUCUUUUUUCCCAUUUGACGACUGCGUGAUGCAUCCCUACGGGCUGAUUGACUAUAAUCUGAUGCCUGUCCUGUCACAUUAGAUUUUACGAUUGUGCUGGCGCAUUUUGUUAUAGAAGAGACGUGACGACUGCGAAUCCAACGAACGCACCGGUUAUUCUCGUCUGCAGUUUUAUUUAUUCUUUUUUUUGUUGUUGUUUUGUUUUCUUGUCCAGCUGCCAAUCCUUCGUUUCGCAAAUGAACCACGUUCCACCAAGUUAUAAACGGGCCGCGCCCUAUCCGACGUCAUCGCGGCAAUUCCUUCUUCCUGGUAUAAUCAACGAGAUGUCGUGAACUUGAAAGAAAUGUUGGAAAAACAGAAAAAAAUUAAGGUUGUACCCUCCCAGGGAGUUAUCCGAUGGAUUAUUAUCAUAUCCGCAAACAACGAGUCCAUUAAAAUGCAUCCGAAUGAGCCGCCGACGACGGUUUGGAUACUAUAUACACUCCUCCCGGUAUAAGUGCCAAAUGCCCUUGCGUUCAUCGGAAAUAAAAGCAUUUCAACAAUGUUUAUGGCAGUCGUCUUUUGCGCGAUUCCCACGCUAUGACCAUAUAUCUCUCCUUUUACGAGUUAUGAAAGCAAAUAUAUAAGUUAUUACAAAGGAA